rnacentral:rRNA from 1 species
CGGGUGAGUAACGCGUGGAAAACCUGCCGUAUACUGGGGGAUAACACUUAGAAAUAGGUGCUAAUACCGCAUAAGCGCACAGCUUCGCAUGAAGCGGUGUGAAAAACUCUGGUGGUAUACGAUGGUUCCGCGUCUGAUUAGCUAGUUGGUGGGGUAAUGGCCUACCAAGGCAACGAUCAGUAGCCGGCCUGAGAGGGUGAACGGCCACAUUGGGACUGAGACACGGACCAGACUCCUACGGGAGGCAGCAG